rnacentral:rRNA from 1 species
UAUUUUAUGUAAAUUUUUAAUUAACUACGUUAAAGUGUAGAUAAGAUGUUUACAGUAAGAGUGAGACCUAUCAGCUAGUUGUUAAGGUAAUGGCUUAACAAGGCUGUGACGGGUAACGGUAUUACUUUGUAAUAUUCCGGAGAAGGAGCCUGAGAGACGGCUACUAAGUCUAAGGAUUGCAGCAGGGGCGAAACUUGACCUAUGGAUUUUA